rnacentral:rRNA from 1 species
AUUGAACGCUGGCGGCAUGCUUUACACAUGCAAGUCGAACGGUAACAGGCCGCAAGGUGCUGACGAGUGGCGAACGGGUGCGUAAUGCAUCGGAACGUGCCCAGUCGUGGGGGAUAACUACUCGAAAGAGUAGCUAAUACCGCAUACGAUCUAUGGAUGAAAGCGGGGGACCGUAAGGCCUCGCGCGAUUGGAGCGGCCGAUGUAAAAUUAGGUAGUUGGUGGGGUAAAGGCUCACCAAGCCAACGAUCUGUAGCUGGUCUGAGAGGACGACCAGCCACACGGGGACUGAGACACGGCCCAAACUCCUACGGGAGGCAGCAGUGGGGAAUUUUGGACAAUGGGCGCAAGCCUGAUCCAGCAAUGCCGCGGGCAGGAAGAAGGCCUUCGGGUUGUAAACUGCUUUUGUACGGAACGAAACGGCUCUGGUUAAUACCCGGGGCUAAUGACGGUACCGUAAGAAUAAGCACCGGCUAACUACGUG